CCUGAGAAACCCAAAAGAUCGAAUGGGGAGAUUCAUCGUCAGCUCAUUUUGUAUAUAUGCAAGUUGUGAUAUGGGUUACUACUUGUAGUAUUGCCUGUACACUCUUGUAUAUUUAGUUGCAAGAUGUUGUCGGCGUGCACUUCUCCCCUAGUAGAACGUCGCGACCCGUUAAAUGUUGGUUUACGGCCCAAGUGAUAGCCUUUAAUAUUGAUCUUAUGAUUAAUAUUUAAGAUCCUUGGUGUUUCCCAACUGGCAUUUGGCGGUAUUAACACAAGGUAUUAAGCCGCAAAUUUUAAUUUGCGUCCAUAUCCGUCGCAAGCGAGGUUAAUUUUUAGUAGUACGGACCCAGUGCCGUCGCUAUAAUUAACCAGCUGUUGGUUGUACGGUGUUCUAGGACUGGCUUUUUAUAUAUACCUGUCAGCGAUGCUACUGCUUUGGGUACUUUCAGGACCCGUCUUGAAACACGGACCAAGGAGUCUAACAUGUACGCAAGUCAUUGGGAUUUUUUAAAAAAUUAAACCUAAAGGCGUAAUGAAAGUAAAGGUCGGCCUUGUGUCGAUUGAGGGAGGAUGAGUUGUAUUAAGAUGCAGCUUCGCACUCCCGGGGCGUCUCAUUCUCAAUACGAGAAGAGGCGCACCUAG
rnacentral:rRNA from 1 species